UGGUCUGGUAGCUCAGCUGGAUAGAGCAACAGUCUUCUAAACUGUGGGUCGUGGGUUCGAAUCUCACCCGGAUCAUAAA
rnacentral:tRNA from 1 species